GAACCCCGUAUAGAUUUUGGAGAUAUAAGGGAGAGCUCCACCUUUUGAAGUUUACCUAGCGACGAUUCAGGAGCUGGCUUCGACAGACUCACUGUGCAAAGCAACAUGAACCGUUUCUUUGGUGUGGAUCUUCUGGUGGUUGCCGCAAUCGUAAUUGCUUUGAUCGUCAUGGUUCCGAAUGAAGCUUCUUGCCUCGGCGGCGCUAUUGGAGGAAUCAAAGCUCCCGAUAUGUCGGGCAGGAAGUGAAUUACUGCGCAUCCUGAAUCAAGAUACUGCACCCCUCUCAUGCUCUGCAUGACCGCCUCAUCUGCAAUAAAAUGCCUCUUGAAGA